rnacentral:rRNA from 1 species
UGAUUCGGGCUCCGGCCCGAUCCUCCCACCCUUUGUGUACCCACCUCUGUUGCUUUGGCGGGCCGCGGUCCUCCGCGGCCGCCCUCCGUCCGGGGGGUGGCCAGCGCCCGCCAGAGGACCAUCAAACUCCGGUCAGUGAACGUUGCCGUCUGAAAAACAAUCAAUAAACUAAAACUUUCAACAACGGAUCUCUUGGUUCUGGCAUCGAUGAAGAACGCAGCGAAAUGCGAUAAGUAAUGUGAAUUGCAGAAUUCAGUGAAUCAUCGAAUCUUUGAACGCACAUUGCGCCCCUCGGUAUUCCGAGGGGCAUGCCUGUUCGAGCGUCAUUACAACCCUCAAGCUCUGCUUGGUGUUGGGCACCGCCCUUCCGCGGGCGCGCCUCAAAGACCUCGGCGGUGGCGUCUUGCCUCGAGCGUAGUAGAAAACACCUCGCUUUGGAGCGCACGGCGCCGCCCGCCGGACGAACCUUUUGAACUUUCUCAAGGUUGACCUCG